GUACACGCUGUGACUAGCAUAUCAAUAAGCGGAGGAAAAGAAACUAACAAGGAUUCCCCUAGUAACGGCGAGUGAAGCGGGAAGAGCUCAAAUUUGAAAUCUUAAAGGGUUUCCCUUUACGAAUUGUAGUUUAAAGAAGUGUUUUCUGUUGAGGUUUUGGUAAAAGUUCUUUGGAAUAGGACAUCAUAGAGGGUGAGAAUCCCGUAUUUGACCUUUACUUUCAACUUUGUGAUACACUUUCAAAGAGUCGGAUUGUUUGGGAAUGCAGUCCAAAAUGGGUGGUAAAUUUCAUCUAAAGCUAAAUAUUGGCGAGAGACCGAUAGCGAACAAGUACCGUGAGGGAAAGAUGAAAAGAACUUUGAAAAGAGAGUUAAACAGUACGUGAAAUUGUCAAAAGGGAAGCGUUUGACACCAGUGUUGUUUUUCUGAAAAUCAAUUAAAGAACUGUUUAUGCUAAGUUGUUUAGACUUUAUCAGCUAACUGUUUAGUUUUGAGCUUUUCUUUAAUGCACUUUUCAGUUAACAAGUCAACAUCAAUUUCUUUUGCUGUAAAAAAGCUUGAGGAAGGUGGCUUGAGAUUCGUCUUAAGUGUUUAUAGCCUCUUGCCUAUGCAGUCGGAGAGAUUGAGGUCUGCAGCGUAGAUCCUUCGGGGCUAAAUGCAUUUGUGCUAAGUUAUAGCAUUUUAUAGACAACUUGUUGACUAUGAUUCGUCUUGUAGCUUACUCGCUUAUGUUAUUUUACCUACGCUUAGGAUGUUGACAGCAGUAUAGACUGU
rnacentral:rRNA from 1 species